GAUGAACGCUGGCGGCGUGCCUAAUACAUGCAAGUCGAGCGAACGGACGAGAAGCUUGCUUCUCUGAUGUUAGCGGCGGACGGGUGAGUAACACGUGGAUAACCUACCUAUAAGACUGGGAUAACUUCGGGAAACCGGAGCUAAUACCGGAUAGUAUUUUGAACCGCAUGAUUCAAAAGUGAAAGACGGUCUUGCUGUCACUUAUAGAUGGAUCCGCGCUGCAUUAGCUAGUUGGUAAGGUAACGGCUUACCAAGGCAACGAUGCAUAGCCGACCUGAGAGGGUGAUCGGCCACACUGGAACUGAGACACGGUCCAGACUCCUACGGGAGGCAGCAGUAGGGAAUCUUCCGCAAUGGGCGAAAGCCUGACGGAGCAACGCCGCGUGAGUGAUGAAGGUCUUCGGAUCGUAAAACUCUGUUAUUAGGGAAGAACAUAUGUGUAAGUAACUGUGCACAUCUUGACGGUACCUAAUCAGAAAGCCACGGCUAACUACGUG
rnacentral:rRNA from 1 species